rnacentral:tRNA from 1 species
AAAGGGAGACCUAAUUCGGGUAUAAGACGAAAAAAUAGUAGUCGAAACCAAGAAUCAAUCCCAAAAGGUCGGAACGAGGUAUGUGGCUUUCAAACUAGGUUCUGGUUCAUAAAAGACCUGAAUCAGGAACAAGGGCUAUUAGCUCAGGUGGUUAGAGCGCACCCCUGAUAAGGGUGAGGUCCCUGGUUCGAGUCCAGGAUGGCCCACCUGCACAGGUGGCAAAAACAAGAGAAGCGAGGAAUCAGCACCUUAUCCUAAUUUAUAUAUAGGAGAGAAUGCUGGCUCUGAGUAAAGAGUCCAGAGGAACCUUGAAAACUGCAUAGAGCUAGGUGAAAAAGCCAAAAAAGAAGACCGCAAG